rnacentral:rRNA from 1 species
AUGAGGAUCAUAAGCUGGAACUAUCGGGGCCUGCGGCAGCCCCGGACAGUUCAAGAACUAGUGUGCUUGGUUGGCACACAUCGUCCCUUAGUCGUUUUCCUUUCGGAAACUAGGCAGAAUAAAGAGCUGGUGAGCAAUCUGAGAUGGAGGUUGGGCCUCAAGAACUACAUGCUUCAUGAUGGUAGGGGUAAGGGUGCCGGAAUUGCUUUGUACUGGGGUGAAUCAGUUGAAUGGAGAGGUACUUUUGUCUAUGGAGAAUCAAAAGCACGUGAGAGAAUACAUAUGUGGAAUCUUCUUCGAAGGAUUGAAAGUAAUUCGAAUGCAUCGUAG